rnacentral:rRNA from 1 species
AUUGAACGCUGGCGGAAUGCUUUGCACAUGCAAGUCGAACGGCAGCACGGGUGCUUGCACCUGGUGGCGAGUGGCGAACGGGUGAGUAAUGCACCGGAACGUAUCCAAUAAUGGGGGAUAACGCACCGAAAGGUGUGCUAAUACCGCAUACGCCCUGAGGGGGAAAGCGGGGGAUCGUAAGACCUCGCGUUAAUGGAGCGGCCGAUGCCGGAUUAGCUAGUUGGUGAGGUAAAGGCUCACCAAGGCGACGAUCCGUAGCUGGUCUGAGAGGACGACCAGCCACACUGGAACUGAGACACGGUCCAGACUCCUACGGGAGGCAGCAGUGGGGAAUUUUGGACAAUGGGCGCAAGCCUGAUCCAGCCAUUCCGCGUGAGUGAAGAAGGCCUCGG